UCUUGACUUCUCAUCCCAACUUAAGGCAGCGUCUCUGACAACGCAGCACACUCUCGGCGCUGCACUGGAGUGAAGGCCUGGAUUAUAUACCUAGGCCCUGGAACGGGGCUUGAUCUCGGCGUGAGAGGCAAAACAAAAGUGUUACCAUCUGCCUGUGAGGUUCAGGAUAUCAUGCCUGAAAUCGGAUCCGUGCAAAACGAGCCAUGAGCAGACUGUGGCUGGAUCAACUACCUCUUUUAACUUGCAAGUGGAUGGCUUCUGCAUGAUUGACAAAACAGGCAGAGCAAAUAUCCUGCUCCGCUCACCACCUCCAAGUUUUUACCUGUCGCUGGGAUUCAUAUAAAAUGCGAUCCAUUGUGUUCAGCAGCGUCAUCUUCUGAUAGAACUUUAGUACCAUGUCCUUCGGCAACUGCAGGAAGAACAGAAUGAGAAGAAAAAAAGGAUGUGUGACCAGUGCAAAAGGCCAGUGAACAGAAAGGUUAAUACUUCCAGUGAGAACAGCAAUUUAAGCCCUGCUGCAACAUUGGUGUGUUGUGAGUUCACAGACCCCUCAAGGGGGAAAGGGGAUUGCCACACUGGAAAUGGACACAGCUAAAUUAGACCUUGGGUACAAAAAAUGCUUUCAAGACUAUGUUAACACAAAGUUAUUUUUUAAAAAACACAUCCAUGUUUUGCACAGGCUAGAUGGACAGAAUGCCUCCUUCUGUUUUGUAUGAUUCUGUGAUUUAUGAACCAUUUAAAGAGCACAGUCAACGUUCCCAACAUUACUUGCAUACACCUGCUGUGACAUGGGUGACAGGGGAUGAUCAUUCCCGAUCUUCCUUCCUCUUGCAGCAAUACCCAUGGGACGUGGGCAUCACUGGCUAGGCCAGCAUUUAUUGCCCAUCCCUAAUUGCCCUUGUUCAGAGGGCAUUU